rnacentral:rRNA from 2 species
AGAGUUUGAUCAUGGCUCACAUUGCCCGCUGGCGUCAUGCCUAACACAUGCAAGUCCAACGGUAACGGGCCCUUCGGGGUGCUGACGAGUGGCGGACGGGUGAGUAAUGCGACGGAAUCUGCCUUACGGUGGGGGAUAACCCGGGGAAACCCGGGCUAAUACCGCAUACGUCCCAAGGGAGAAAGCGGGGGAUCUUCGGACCUCGCGCCGAAAGAUGAGCCUACGUCCGAUUAGCUAGUUGGUGGGGUAAAGGCCUACCAAGGCGACGAUCGGUAGCUGGUCUGAGGGGAUGAUCAACCUCACUGGGACUGAGACUCCGUCCAGACUCCUACGGGAGGCUUCAGUGGGGAAUUUUGGACAAUGGGCUAAAGCCUGAUCCUGCGAUGCCGCGUGGGUGAAGAACGCCUUCGGGUUGUUCAGCCCUUUCGGCGGGGACGAAAAUGCCGAACCUGAUACCUUCGGGUCUUUGACGUUACCUGCGAUAAGAAGCACCGGCUAACUCCGUGCCAGGCAGCCGCGGUAAUACGGAGGGUGCUUGCGUUAAUCGGAAUUACUGGGCGUAAAGCGCGCGUAGGCGGUUUGUAAGUCAUAUGUGAAAUCCCCGGGCUCAUCCUGGGAACUGCAUACUAUACUGCUAGGUCUAGAGUGUGAUAGAGGGAAGCGGAAUUCACGGUCGUAUCGGCGAUUUGCGUAUAUAUCCGGAGGAUCUUCAGUGCCGUAUGCUGCCUCACACGUACCAACACUGACGCUGAGGCGCGAACGCGUGAGGCAGCAAAUCAGGAUUAGGAUAUCCCUGGGUAGUCCACGCCGAUAAACGACUGAGAAACUAGCCGAUCUGGAAGUCAACUGGCUUUCUGGCUGGCGCAGCAUAACGCGUUAAGUUGCUCCGCCUGGGGAGUACGGCCGCAACGGCAUAAAACUCAAAUGAAUAUGACGGGGGCCCGCACAAGCGGUGGAGUCAUGUGGUUUAAUUCGAUGCAACGUCGAAAAACCUUACCUGCCCUUGACAUCCUCGGAACUUGUCAGAGAUUGACUUGGUGCCUUCGGGAACCGAGAGACAGGUGCUGCAUGGCUGUCGUCAGCUCGUGUCGUGAGAUGUUGGGUUAAGUCCCGUAACGAGCGCAACCCUUGUCCUUAGUUACCAGCGGUUCGGCCGGGAACUCUAGGGAGACUGCCGGUGAUAAACCGGAGGAAGGUGGGAUGUCGUCAAGUCAUCAUGGCCUUUAUGUGCAGGGCUACACUCGUGCUACAAUGGUCAGUUCAGAGGGAAGCCAACCCGCGAGGGGGAGGUAAUCCCAGAAAAUUGAUCCUAGUCCGGAUUGCAGUGUGCAAGUCGAAUGCGUGAAGUCGGAAUCGUUAGUAAUCGGGAAUCAGAAUGUCGCGGUGAAUACGUUCCCGGGCUUUGUACACGCCGCCCGUCACACCAUGGGAGUGGGCUGUACCAGAAGCAGGUAGCCUAACGGUAAGGAUGGCGCCUCCCACGGUGUGGUUCAUGACUGGGGUGAAUUUGUAACAAGGUAGCCGUA